GCCCGCCUAGCUCAAUCGGAUAGAGCGUCAGACUCUUAUCGUCGACGGCGGUGUACCAGUAUCUGAAGGCUGCGAGUUCGACCCUCGCGGUGGGCU